rnacentral:lncRNA from 1 species
CAAAUGUGUCUAAUGGUCUAACCAAUAUGUACAUUCUCCCUUGUAAAGACCCCAGCUGCCCAACUACAUUUCCCAUCCUGGGUUCCCUUAUAUCCCUGUAACUACUCCCCACCAUGAAAUGUGAGUGGAAGGGAUGGGUAUCACAUAUGGGUUGAAGUUUUUAAGAAGCGGGUGUGCCUUCUGCAUUCUUUCCUCUUCUGCCAAAGGCCCCAAAGUUCUACGAGAUGGUUAAGGUGACCAACUGUCCUGGUUUGCCCUGGACUGAGGGAGUUUCUGGAAUGUGGGGCUUUCAGUUUCAAAACUGGGACAGUCCAGGAAAACGGGGGAUUUACUGGUCACCCUAAGAGACUUUUAUGGGUGUGAAACAGGACUUUUAUGUCCCAUAUGGGACUUUUAUGUAAUUGUGAAAUAAGCCAGGAAAAUUUUGAAGUUAAUUCGUUGCUACUUACUAGCUUUAUCCUAACUAAUACAGAUUGGAAUUACUACUCAGGAAGUGGCCUUGUUCAGAUAGACACAUGUCAAUGAGAGGAUAUCAAAAAGCAGAAAUGCUGGCUCUCGUCCUCAGCAGCUCCAUGAUCUAGAAUGUAUUGUUGGCCUAAUCUUCUAGUUGGAGUAGAUUAAUGGUUCUCAAAGCAUGGUGUGAGAAUCCACAGGGUUCCCUAAGAUCUCAGGGUGUCCAUGAGGGCAAAACUAUUUUCAUAACAGUGGCAGAUGUUAUUACCUUUUCAUUCUCAUGCUAUUAGGAGUGUGCAGUGGGAUUUUCAAGAGGCUACACGAGGUGUGAUGAUGUCAUGGAUCUGGUGGCUGAUGGACUAUGUGUUUGUGAAUUAUUGUGUUUUAAAAUUGUCUUGGUCUUAAUUUCUAAUAUGGUCAAUAUUAAUAGAUGUAACUCACACUCCAAAAACUCUUCAGGGUCAUUAAUGAUUUUUAAGAGUGUAAGAACUCCUGAGACCAAAAAGUUUGAGAACUGUUGAUGUGAAUAAUUUCUAAGGUUUUGUAUAUUUCUCAAAGUUUGUGAAUUAGUACUCAUAUAUACCCAAGCCAGCUACAGAACUUUCUUUUUUUUUGAGAUAAGGUCUUGCUGUGUUGCCCAGGCUGGAGUGCAAUAAUGGCACACUGCAGCCUAGAGAGCCUGGGCUCAAGUAAUCCUCCUACCUCAGCCUCCUGAGCAGCUAGAACUCCAUGCAUGCACCCCCAUGCCCAGCUAAUUUUUUUUUAUUUUUUGUAGAGAUGGGGGUCUCAUUAUGUUGCCCAGGCUGGUCUGGAACUCCUGGCCUCAAGAGGUCUUCCUGCCUCAGGCCCCCAAAGUACUUACAGGUGUGAGCCACCAUGCCUAGCCUCAUUACAGAAUUUUUAAGUUGAUAUGUCUUUCAUUAUUUUUCCAUCUCUAUCUCUAUUUUUUUGUGUGUGUUCUAUCUCUCUUUUUUUUUGAGACUGAAUCUCACUCUGUCACCCAGGCUGGAGUGCAGUAGCAUGAUCUUGGCUCACUGCAACCUCUGCCUCCCAGGUUCAAGCAAUUCUCCUGCCUCAGCCUCCUGAGUAGCUGGGAUUACAGGCGUGUGCCACCAUGCCAGGCUAAUUUUUGUAUUUUUAGUGGAGGGGGUUUCACCAUGUUGGCCAGGCUGGUCUCGAACUCCUGACCUCAGGUGAUCCACCUGCCUGUCUCAGCCUCCCAAAGUGUUGGGAUUACAGGCAUGAGCCACCACAGCCAGCCACUUUUUUUUUUCCAUCUUAAGCUGUGGUGGGGAUAAAAAAUGUUUUGGAAUCUAUUAUUAAAAGAUCUCUUUCCAGAAAAGUAUAGACACUUCCUGUUUUAUAUAUUAGGAAUUAUACAGAGUUAUUCCCCUUAUGAUAUGGGACGGUUGCCUUAAACAAAUCAUAAAGUAGCAAAAAUUAAAGUAUAUUUUUUCCCUUCAGAGGAAGGACAUUUUGCCGUUUCAGACAAGUAAAUCUGACAAUUAUGUUUCCAGCAACCUUAGAGAAAUAGCUGUUGUGCUCACCCAGGGUUCUGGAUAAAGAUGCUUAGUGUACUUUCCUUGGAAGCAAAUCAAAUGCAAAUUUGGUUGUGUCUCUCUCUUGCUUAGACGCUUUCAGUAGCUUCCCUUGGGUCCUUAGGAUAAAGCCCCAACUUAUUCAAAGUCCUUUCAGGUCUUCACCUGCACACUCCCUACCCUGGUCUCCCUUCUGUGUGUUUUCUGUCUGGUUCUCUUUACUGAACCUCACAAGGGCUGACAGACGUGAACCCUGUUUCAGUUUCUGCUUAAAAGCCUUUUCUCCAGCCUGAUUUAUAAUCUCAGUGCACCUAUACUUCUAACACCUCAGAAACUCACUUGUAAUUCUCUGUUCCAGGAUGCCCACUGGAUCCAAAGAGAGAAACUCUAUAGAAUUAUGAUCUAGGUUUGACUGACUCCUGGCAAGAAGCCCUACCCGCCAGCCAAUUUGGAUGAGGUGAGGGCUUUUUCUUAUCCCGCAAAGGAGAUGUGCAACAUGCUGCUCAGGCUUUUGAAGAAAUGACUCAGAAAAGGGCUGUCCUCAUAGCCAAAUAACAAAAUGUUUACUGAAAAUGCAAAAGUGAAGUCAUCAAAUACCUGAAUUCACUGGACAUUGGUAAAUUUAGAAAAAGCCAAGAUCUGUCAUCUAUUCAUACACACACACACACACACACAGACAUACACACACAGACACACACACACAGACACACACAUACACAGACAUACACACACACAGACAUACACACACACACACACACACACGCACAAACACGAACACCAGAGAUCAAUUCAAAAUCCAGAUUGUCAUUUGAGGAAUGUAUAGUUGCUAAUUUAUUUUGACAAAUUCAUGGAGUUGAUUUAAAUUAUUUAUGAUAAUGCUUCACAGUAUAUUUUAUAAAAGUAAUGAAAGUGUAAUUUUAAAAACGUUCUUGGCUUUUACACUUUUCUUGGGGAGAAAUGAAAUAAUGCUAUUUUUUUCUUUUAAAAAGCAUUGAAACACCAGAACUUAUGGAGUGAAAAUAUGAAGGAAGUCUGUUUAUAUUUUAGGAAAUAUAUAUACUUCUACAAACAAACCUAGUAGAAUAUCUGACACAAAAACCGUACAGGCCUCUCCCAGCUCCUUAUAUGAACUCAGCUGCUGGUGAAUGAGGAGAUAAUUCACCCAUCUAUAUACAUAAAUUUCUGGAUAAUAAUAAUGAUAAUGGUAAUUGGCAUUUACUAAGCUCUUACUGUGUUCUGAACACCUUAUUUGCAUGAUAUCUUUGAAUGCUUAUAACAUUCUAGAAGGUAGGUGCUGUAUUGUUUCCGAUUUAUAAAUAAGAAAAUUGAGCCACAGAGAAGUUAAGUGACUUACCCAAAGUCACACAGCAACAAAGAUAAAAUUCAAAAUGAUGUAGGCUUACUUCAUAGCCUAGUAUUCUUUACUCCUAAGCCAUACUGGGUUGUACAGUAAUUGCUAAAGGAACAAAUUUCAAAGUCUUCCUUGUAGGUAACCUUUCUUUCUAUUUGUACAAAGGAUUAUAAACUGUAAGAAGUUUUAUGGCAUGUUGAAUUAGCUCAGUAGUUCAAUUGUAAGAGUUUCUCAUUAAUUAUUUAAAGCUAUUCAUUUUUAUUAGGAGUACCAGAGCUAGACUCAGGACAAACCUCUAUUUCAUUCAAUUCAAUUUAGCUCAAUUUAGUUCAUGUUAUUGAAUAUACAUUACAUGCUGGGUUUGGGGAGGGAAGAUUGUAACUGUAAUUAGAAAGGUAUUAUCUCUGCUUUCUAGGAACACAGAAUCACUUGUGGAAUUAAGAGAUAAGGACAGCAAGUAGACCAAACUAUAAGCUGAGGUUCAAGGUGGCAUAGGCUGGGUGCCACAGUGCUGUGUCUCAGGUGGGCUAGAAGUGCGAAACGGACAGUACCAGAAGGAAAACUUGAGGGUAAACUUGGGUUUUUUACCAUUCCCAGCCUUAGGAGGCCAAAGGCUGAACAAAUACUUGUCAAAUGAAUGAUUAAGAUCCCUUAAGGUACUAAGUAGGAUAUGAAAAAAAUUCGUGGAGAAGAAAGCAUUUGAAGUGAAUAUCUUUAAAUUUUAGGGGAGAAGAGCAUUACAUUCUGAGAUUGCAGGAUAUGCAGAGGGCAGAUGCUUAAUAUAAAAGUGCUUAAAAUGAUGAUGGCAGAAGCCUGCUGAAUGAUGUGGAAUAAAGAAGUAUGUGAUAAUGAUUAUGACUUGACUAACAUCUAUUAUACAUCUCCAUUGUGCCAGCUGUUUUCAAGGGCUUAAUCUUAUUUGCUCUGCAGAAAUUCAGUUUUGGUGGUAGACAUAAAGGUGCAACCUUGUUCUCCCUUCAAAGAGAAAGUGCUUCCCAGCUGUAGGGGGUGUGGUCAGCAUACAGCCUCUGUUCAGCUCUCAGCUCCUUCAGAGUUGGCCUAGGCAGCAGACAGGCACCUGGCCCAUAAUUGUGCCCUUUUUAGGGAAAGCCCAUGUCCCAUAAUUGAGGAAGAGAUAUAGAGGUCAGGUCAUUCCCACCCAACAUAGACAGACUCUGUAGGGUUUUGUUUGCUCCUGAGCUCCCUCCAGGAUUGGCUAUGGCACUGUUAGGCUUUCAUUGCUCCCUUCCCUUCCCAUCACAGCUCAAUUCCUAAUCAAUGUCUUGCUUAGUUUAGAGUCUGCUUCCAGAAAACCUAAUCUGCAAGACCGUUAAUCUCCCACAUUGACAGGCUGGAAACUGGAACACUGAGAGUCGAUGCAUUUCCCCAAGGCCACACAACUAGUGAAUAGCAGAGCCAGGUUUUAAAUUAAGAUUCAUUUAACUUCUAAUUGAGGUUCUCCUCAGAACCCCACACUGGCUACAGGACCAACCUGUAUUUAGCCAAAGUUGCAUUCUCGCACAUGCACACAUCAACAGGAAUCUCUCCACUUGUCGGCCCAGAUAGAUGUUUUCUGUCAGGAGAGCUCUGAGUCAUCUGUGCCCCCUAGAGGAAGCCAAAACUCUAGGUCAUCUGUGCCCACUCUUGGCUUGAUUACCCCUAUCAAUCUUUCAAGUCUUAAUUCCUAAAUCAAAAUUAAGUUUUCUGGUUACAAGCUUUCGUAGUACCUGUCAUAGCACUGGACACAAUUUGCAAUCACAUAUUUAUUUUCUCCUGUUUGUUUGCUCCACUAGGCUAUAACUUCAGGAGGGCAUGGAUUAUGUUUGUUGAGUUUAGCACUAACUUCCUAGCACUUUCCCAUACUUUUGGGUGUGAUAGGAGCUCAAUGUACAUUUAUUAAAGGGCUGAGUUAAGGGUGUAUGAUAAAUCCUGGGUACUUAUCUCAGUCAAUAUUAUUUCUAGUUUUCUUCUCUUAUGGAACUAUAUAAGAUAUUCACAAAAAUAUCAUUAUAUUAUGGCAGAUAUUAAUUAUUAUGAUUAUGAUUGUUUUUAGGCUCACACCAUACCUUAGACCAUUUUCAAAUGACCAAGUUGGAUGGUCAAAAAUUAAUAACUUACUCGGAAACUGUCCUUAUAUUUUUUUGCUGAAGUCAUGUUUAAUUUUCUUCAGGAGAGAUCUUGAUCCUAAGACAAUGCUGACAUUUCCCAAGAGUGGGAAUUCCAUGAGCUUUCUCAGAUGGCUGCCCCAAUGUCUGGAAACCUCUUGAAGGUGAUCUCUAUCAUUUUGUCCACCUAGAUAUUUGAUUCAUAAACUCAUUCUUUAAAACCAAAGUCAUGGGUGGCACCCUUUGACCUCGUUAAAGCUCAUAAAUCUCCCCUUUGUGAAGAUUUUUCAUCUUGAAAUGUGGCAAAGGUGUGAACUAUUGAAGAGGUGUUCUCUUGAACAUUUGCCCUACAAACUCACCCAAUAGAAAACCAGAUUCAGGCAUUUCCGACAUGGGUCACUUCUCAGAAAGGCUAUUUCAACUUCACUCUAUAUUAUGAAGAUUUUAUAGACUUCAGUUAUGCAGACUUUUUAGCUUUUUCAUUUUCAGACUAGUCCGACUUGUUUUUUUAUAAUUUUAAAUGUAUUCAAAAAAGUCAUAUUUUCAGACAUCAUAUGUGUUUCCAUUUGUGAGUUUUUCUGGUGUAUAGAGAUUAUGAAAUUCAAGUGGGAGGGAAAAUGUUUGUUGAAGGCUCAUUCUUCUAGAGUUGCUCUAAAACCAAAUUUAAACUAAUCUCUAACAGUUGUGACUUAGAAUUAGAAAACUCAGUCUUUAGGCUCUGUUGUCUAACAGCUGUGUGUGUUUCUACAAUUUACUUAACUGCUGAAUCCAGUUUUUUGUUUUGUAAGAUAGGAAUAAUAAUUCCUGUUAGUGACCUAGUAGGAAUGUAUUAGAGAAUUAAGUGAGAAACGGCAAAAUCCCUUCUGAACCCCAAUAAACAUAAGCUACUUUUAUUACCGAUCUUUUUUUGGAUCUUUUUGUUAGAUAUGAGUUCUAAAUUUCUUUUCAAAGAAUUAAUAUGUCAGUAUGUUCAAUUCUUUGCCGUCUACUUUUAAACUUAACUUCCUCGUAAAGCAACCUUUUUCAAUCACCUGCUCCACCCUACACUCCAAUCACCUGCUCCACACUAACUCAUUCCAAUUACCUGCUACCUGCUCUGCCCUGAUUCCCGCCAAAGCACUCACCCCGUCAUUCUCUUUAAAUUAGCCAAUCGGAAUUAGUUUAGCCUGUGUGGUCUAACCCUAGCCAAUAGGGGAAGGACACAUUAGGGGCCACGUGCGUCAGGGAUAAGAACCCCUUCCCCUCCCUUGUCCAAGUGUGCACUCACCAUUGUUUCAUCUGUAAGGGCGCAACUUUCUAUAUAGAAGUAACUUGCCUUGCUGAGAAUUAAAAAGAAAAUUUUAUAUUCGAGUGCUCUUUCUUUUGUGGCACCGAAACUUUAUAUAUAACAUUUUCUGAACAAUGUUGUAGCAAUGCUAUUGGUACCCACCCCCCUCAUAUUCCCUGGAGCUUUACUAUUGUAGUGCCCACAGGCCCAUCUCUAAUUACCAGCAUUUGCCUCUCUUUGCGCAAGGACUUACUCUGACAGCCAGCUUCUGGUAUAUGCUCACAAAAAGCAGGCUGAAACCAGAGAAUUAGCAUGCCCAGAUCAGUCUACAACCAAUGACUGAAGGAAGUUGGUAUAUAAAUACCUUGGCUGCCCUGUCCAUCAGAUGGGAUUACACUGAGGCUUAUAGUCUACACUGGAUCUCAGUUUCCCUAGAGCUAUUAAGCUGCAGGUGCCCACAGUGACAACCGGCUCAAUUAUACACCAUUUUUGGCUUCCUGAAUCAUUUAUUGGCUUUAUUCCAUUCCACUUUCUGAUUUACUUCUCCACUUUCUAACUGAUAUUUCCUGGAAUUACCUUUCAAGUUAACUACUUGUACUUGAAUUCUUGUCUCAGGCUUUGCUUCUGAGGGAUUCCCAAACUAAGACAGUGUUUAUAUGAAUUACAAUUGUUUUGCAUGGAAGUGAUAUACACUUACUUUAACUCAACAGAGCUUAGAUCCGAACAAAGAAAAAAUCAGUUCAUUGACUUAUAUUAAUGCAAUGUCUAAAGAUGACAGAAUCUUAUUUAAGAAUGGCUAGAUACAGGAAACUUAUACAAUGCCAUUGACUUUUUUUUCUCUCACUCUCUGUCUCUCUGUUUUUCUCUCUCCCUCACACACACACACACACACACACACACACCCCUACCUGUUUUCCUCUAUGUACUUAUUUUAGGAUAGAAAAGAUGGUGCUGUAAUGUCACUCUAAGCUUACAUUGCCUCUACAGCAUGAAAUAGCUGAGAAAGUAAAAUUGUCUUUUGUUCAUAUCCAUAUCAAUUCCAGAAAGAGUCUCAAAUUGUCAGUAUUUUCAAUGUAUGCUGACCUCUAGAAAAAAUGACUGGGUCCAGGUGGCUGAAAUAUGCUAGGUGGUCAUGCCAGGGAAGGUGACAACUCUAGCAGAGCUAUAUGAAAUAUGCGGGAGUGAGCUUGACUUUAAAAUGAUAAGUGCAGCAACAAGCAUCCCACAAAGUAAAAAAUACUAUCUAGUGUUUCCAUCCUUUUUUUUUUUUUUUUUUUUUUUUUUUUUUUUUUUUUUGAGACGGAAUUUCACUCUUUUUGCCCAGGCUGGAGUGCAAUGGCAUGAUCUUGGCUCACAGCAACCUCCGCCUACUGGGUUCAGCGAUUUUCCUGCCUCAGCCUUCCAAGUAGCUGGGAUUACAGGCAUGUGCUACCACACCUGACUAAUUUUGUAUUUUUAGUAGAGACGGCGUUUCUCCAUGUUGGUCAGGCUGGUCUCGAACUCCCAAAAUCAGGUGAUUCGCCCAUCUCAGCCUCCCAAAGUGCUGGGAUUACAGGUGUGAGCCACCACGCCCUGCUGUUUCCAUCUUUUUUUUAAUGAUAUCUUACAUUUUUGGACCUUUUCAUCUCAACAGAAGCAAUUACUAAUAUAAUAUCACAGUUGGACCAGUGACUCCUUUCCCAGGUUCAGAAUCGAUGGAUCAGAUGUCAUCAUACUAUAAUGGAGGGACAGGCAAAUAAUAUACUCAUUAAAUAGUAAAAAUAGUGGUUACUGUUUGUCAAACACACAUAGCAUAAGUUCUAAAUUCCAUGCUAGGUAUUUUACAAAGGUGAUUCUACUUAAAUCCCAGAAACAAACCCUGCGACUAGUCAUAGGUGUGACUAGGAUUUUUAUUUAAUGAAUGAAGAAACUAAAGCUUAGUGAAAUUAGAGACUUGCUGAAGGUUUUCUUUUUUUUUGCUCGUUGAUUGAAGAGGCAAUAUUUGCAUCCAGGUCUGUGUAGUUCAAAACCCAUUUCUUAGCCACCUUGCUGCGUUGCCAGCUUGAAGCACUGGUGCUUUGAGAACAUUGCUUUUGGUGGACUUAUUCUAAUACUCAUCUGCCCUUAGGUUCCUUUGCAUUCAUUUUUUGGUGGAACAUUCGGAGUCAAUGAAAGCAAUUUGAACUCUAGGAGAAGAUCAACUCUUUCCUUCAAAUCUCAUACUUCAGGUUGCAGACUUUUUGGUUCACACUAAAUCCUUGCGAUCUGAGAACCUGAAAACCUUACACUCAGAAUCAAUGGGCCUAGAAAAACCUUUUUAUCUAGCUGUAGCACAACCAGAGCUAACUAAGUUACCAUAUUGGUUGUCCUUUUCCAGUUAGCCUAAUGAAGUCUCCUGAUGGAGUAGGCAAUAGAUCAGACCGGAUUUAAUGAAAACAGAAUUAAUUCAUGGAGUUGUUUCAUCAGCUUUCCAAGACCAUCUCUCUCACUCGGACUGUAGGCAGCAGUUCUAAAUAUCUGGCACUCUGUAAAAAAUAACUCUAUUUGCAUUCUUUUUAUACACUUUGAGAUUUUGUUAUUAUUUAAAGAUAUAAGAGGUAACUGAAGUGUGAAUCUAAUUAUCUUCAUGAUCAGUUGACAAAUGAAUUACCCACAUAGUUGAAAGUGCUAAAUUCUCUCAUUGGUUUGCCAAAUAUUGAUUACUCUCUUUUUUGUAUGUCAGACACUAUCCUAGGUGCUGGGGACAUAGCAGUGAUCCAGAUGGAAACAAGUUGCCCCACAAAUAAAUAUAUAAUUACAUAUUAUGAUAAGAAUUAGAAGAGAGUUUAACAGGCAGACUUGUAUCAGUCAGGCUCCAGUGAAGAAAAGAGAAAAAACUCUAGGUAUUUUAAGCAGGAUAUGGAUUAAUUCAAGGAAGAGGAUGUUUGUAAAACUCUUUUGAAGGGCUGAAGAGGCAGUUUAAUCCUGGGUCUUCAGGGGUAUUUCUCAGAACACUGCAGAGCUGGCCCCCCUGGGGAGCUCCCAUAUGGAACUUUGCAGGUCAAGAACACACUGCCACUUGCUUAAAUUCUCUUAUUGAAACUGUGUCUGAACACCUGGGUCGCUACAAAAUGGAUAUCCAAGGCUGUGAUUCAUGAUUUAGCAAGCCAGUCAACAUGCCACGAUUGCCACUAAUGCCCCUGCACCCACUAAGUUCAUUCUCAGGAAUUUGAAAACUGGCACAGUACAGAGAAACCUCAUGUUUCCAUGAUAGUGCUUGCUAGUAGAAACUGCCAGGUGGAACCACAUUAGCAUCCAGACCCUUAGCUGCAAGGGAGUCAGUAGUGCAGUUAGUAGCAUUCUAUCCUCUUCAAAUAGGAGGAGAGUGGAAUGGAGAGUGAGUGAGAUGAUCUACAAUGUCCAGCACAGGAUGUUGAUUGAGUUUGAAGCUGGUGAAGACUUCUUUCAGGUAGUAAUAUUUCAGCUGAGACACAAAAAAUGAGCUGAAGGACAGCAGCCAAGGAGUUCAGUGUGCUCCACAUGGAAGGAAUAACAUGAGAAAAGGCCUUGCAUUGGGAAGGUGUUUGGUGUGUUUGCACAGCUGGAUGGGAGAGUGGUGGGGCAGAAUUAGUCAGAAGGAAUGGUACACAGCUGGAGAGGUGGGAAGGACCUGGUGUGUAGGCUCUUCUUGAUCAUGUUAAAGACUUAGGAUUUUUCUAUAACUGCAAUAGGACCAUUUAAGUAGGGGAAGAAAUCAAUCUGCUUUAUAUUUAUAAAGGUUACUCUUGCUGAUGUCUGACAACAGUUUAAAAGAUGGUAGUUUAGAGGAGGGUGUUUUCAGUGGAGGUAUUGGAGAGGAAUGGAGUAAUAGGAAUUACAUUUUGGAGGCAGAGCUAAUAGGACUUGAUGUUAGGCCAGUUGAAACAGAGGCAGGGGUAGGGAAGAGAAGCACCCAAGCAUGGCCCCUGAGUUUCCCAUGUGAGUACGUGGAUGGGAUGUUCAUACCACAAAGUGCAAUUGGUAAGAUGCAUAGAACAUGUUCUGUGGCAAGAUCAAUAUUCUGUUGGACAUAUUAUGCUUGAGAUGCCCCUGAAACAUCCAAAAGGAGAUUUCCAGCCUGUCUAGAAAUGCAUGCAUGUCUAGAUAAUGAUUGGUAUGAACAUGCAGGUGGACCUUGGGGAAGCCAGAGUGAAAAACAGGUAUAACCUAAAUGAGUCAGUGCAGCAAGGAUUAUGCAUUAAUCUACUCCAAAAGGAAAAAAAAAUCUAAAGGUAGUACAGAUGUAACUGACCACACAGUAGUAGUAGUAAUAGUUCUUGUUUUUCCUCUUGCCUCUUUGUUCUCCUCUUCCUGUUUCCCCCUUUUCCUUCCGUCUCUUCCUCCUCUUCUUAUUUCUCCUUCUUUUUCUCUCUUCCUUCAAAACAUUCUUCUACGUUAAUCUUCAGGCUGUUUCUUUUAUUUUGAGCACAACCUCAACCUGUAAGAGCUUCCACAAAAAGAAUUAUUCUAAACUUUUAAAUUGUGCUGAUUCUUUGGAGGGUUGUUUUGUCAGGUAAAAGUUACAUUGUUAUCUGUUUUAUCUUCAUUUCUUUUUCUGGUUUGAGAGAGAACUGAGGAAAAGAACAAGAUAUUGUGUAGAUUAUUUUUCUUCUGGUCUUUGGGGCAAGCCAAGAUCUUGGUUAUAAAGAAGUACAGAAAUCAGCAACAGUAAUAUUUGGAGUGAGGGAUGUGUGAGCUGACUUUACAUACAGGCCUUUUUUAAAUGGAAAGAGUCAACAAAAUAGAGAGCAACUUGGAAGGGGGAGAAAAAACAAACUGAAACAAAACAAAAUUGCUAAGCAGAAGAGCCAAAUAUGAUAGAAGAUGAGUGACAGCUAAUUAACACUUUCCAUUGAUUUUAUAGAAGACAAAGUUUCUGUAUAAAAAAAUGUGGAAAUUUGCAAUUAAGUAGAAUAGAUUGGAGAGGAGAGAGAGAGAGAGAAAUGGAGCAAGAACAUUGAAAAAUAAAUAUCAUCCUGAAACUUGCCUUUCAGUAAAAUUGAAAGGGGCCUCUCCAUAGGUUGUCUGGACUUCCUCACAGCAUGGUGGCUGGGUUUCAAGAACAACCAUCCCAAGAGAACCAGAUAGAAGCUGCAUUCCCUUUUGUGACCUUGCCUCUGAAAACACAUAAUGUCAAUUCUCCCAUAGUUACAGGUACACCCAGAUUUAAGGCAAAGGAACAAAGACCUUACUUCACAAUGAAAGGAGUUUUAAGGCAUCAUUGAAAGAAGAUCAUGGGAGAUAGGAAAUACUGUUAUGGCCAUUCUGGAAAAUAUAGUUUACCACACUAUCCAGAAACAGGGUGCUCUUUUUAUUUAUUCAAGUCUUCUGUUGUGUCUCUCUAUAGAUUUUUAGAUUUUGUUCACAGAGAUUGGGCAAAUCUUAUUUUCUUUUUUAAUUUUUAAAUUUUUAAAAAACUUUUAAGUUCAGGGGUACAUGUGCAGGAUGUGCAGGUUUGUUACAUAGGUAAACGUGUCAUGGAGGUUUGUUGUACAGAUUAAUCACUCAAGUAUUAGGCCUAGUAUCCAUUAGUUAUUUUUCCUGAUUCUCUCCCUCCCCACACCUUCUGCCCUUUGGUACGCCCCAGUGUGCAUUGUUCCCCUCUAUGUGUCCAUGUGUUCUCAUCAUUUAGCUCCCACUUAUGAGUGAGAACAUACGGUAUCUGGUUUUCUGUUGCUGCAUUAGUUUGCUAAGGAUAAUGGCCUCCAGCUCCAUCCAUGUCCCUGUAAAGGACAUGAUCUCAUUCCUUUUUAUGGCUGCAUAGUAUUCCAUUGUGUAGGUGUACCACAUUUUCGUUAUCUGAUCUGUUAUUAUUGGGCAUUUAGGUUGAUUCCAUGUCUUUGCUAUUGUGAAUAGUGUUGCAAAAAAAUAUGUGUGCAUGUGUCUAUAUAAUAGAACAAUUUAUAUUCCUCUGUGUAUAUACCCAGUAAUGAGAUUGCUGGGUUGAAUGGUAUUUCUGUCUCUAGGUCUUUGAGGAAUUGCCACAGUCUUCCACAAUGGUUUAACUAAUUUACACUCCCACCAUCAGUGUAAAAGUGUUCCUUUUUCUCCACAACCUUGCCGGCAUCAGUAGUUUUUUGACAUUUUAAUAUAUAAUUAUAGCCAUUCUGAUGGGUGUAAGAUGAUAUCUCAUUUUGAUUUUGAUUUGUAUUUCUCUAAUAAUCAGUGAUGUUGAACUUUUUUACAUAUGAUUGUUGGCUGCACAGAUGUUUUCAUUUGAGAUGUGUCUGUUCAUGUCCUUUGCCCACUUUUAAAUGGGUUUGGUUUUUUUCUUGUAAAUUUGUUUAAGUUCCUUUUGGAUAUUGGAUAUUAGACCUUUGUCAGAUGCAUAGUUUGCAAAAAUUUUCUCCUAUACUGUAGGUUGUCUGUUUACUCUGUUUAAAUAGUUUCUUUAGCUAUGCAGAAGCUCUUUAGUUUAAGUAGAUCCCAUUUGUCAAUUUUUGCUUCUGUUGCAAUUGCUUUUAGUGUCUUCAUCAUGAAAUCUUUGCCCGUACCUGUGUCCAGAAUGGUAUUGGCUAGAUUUUCUUCUAGGGUUUUUAUAGUUUUGGGUUUUACAUUUAAGUCUUUAAUCCAUCUUGAGUUUAUUUUUGUAUAUAGUUUAAGGAAUGGGUGCAGUUUCAAUUUUCUGCAUAUAGCUAGCCGGUUCUCCCAGCACCAUUUAUUAAAUAGGAAAUCCUUUCCCCAUUGCUUGUAUUUGUCAGGUUUGUCGAAGAUCAGAUAGUUGUAGGUGUGCAGUUUUAUUUCUGGGUUCUCUAUUCUGUUCCGUUGGUCUAUGUGUCUGUUUUGUACCAGUACCAUGCUGUUUUGGUUACUGUAGCCCUGUAGUAUAGUUUGAAGUCAGGUAGUGUGAUGCUUAGAGGGCACAUUUUAAAUAGGGUAUUUAGAGUUAUGAUGUUUCAUUUGGUGCUAUUGUCAUGAGAACAUUUUCUUUAAUUGCAUUUCCUAACUGAUUAUUGCUUGUACAGAAAAGCUAAGGUAUUCAUGUGCUAAUUUUGUAGCCAUUCACAUUAGUAAAUGUCCUGGGGAAGUACCAAUUUGAAACAUUCCUCAGUUACCAGGUCAUAAUGUGUUUGUGGUAAAUUUUUACUGUCUUGUGACAAAGUUUCAAUAGUUUACUCAAACCCAAAAUACAACAGAAAUAGAGAAUCUUUCUUUUAUUGUAUCAUUCACCAAAAGUGUCUCUGAUUCAAACUUAGUAAAUCUACUUUAUCUUUGUAUAAAACAAAGAUAUAUACUUUGUCAUAGAUAUAUGCUAUGCUUUCACAGAUAUAUGCUAUGACAUGAUGGAAGAAAUAAUUCUGCUUAUGGACCUUUUGGGGAGCUUGUGCCUUUCAAGGUCUGCAUUUUACAAAAUAUAUGGAAGAGUUUGAAGUUGGCAAUUUAUUUUAAUGUGGUCAUAAAGCUAGAUUGUAGAACAUUGCUGAAGUUUCACAUUGAGCAGAUUCCAUAGACCAAGACCUUUUUGGAAUUAAAGGACAGUUUGAGACUCAACUUGCUGACUUGUUCUGGCUCAAAAACUAUACCUCUUUACUGAUAAAACUACAAUUUUUACUGAACAAAGUAAACCUGAAGGCAGAACACUAUUCUCAAUCUGCAAAGAAGUAAGGGUGUUCAGAUUCCAAAUGAAUCUAUAAAGCAAAUAUCAAUUUUUAUUCUUCACUGGUAAAAAACUCUAAGCUCAAUGGAAUUACACUUACGUAAGGAUUGCAGAGUGUAUUACUGAGGGUUCUCCAGAGGGACAGAACGAAUUGAAUAUAUGUUUAUAUUGAAAGGAGUUUAUUAAGGAGAAGUGACUCACAUGAUCACAAGGUGAAGUCCCAUGAUAGGCCAUCUGCAAACUGAAGAGGUAGGAAGCCGUUAGUGGCUCAGUGCAAAAGCCUUAAAAGUGGGAAAACUUGACAAUGCAGCCUUCGGUCUGUGGCCAAAUUCCUGAGAUCCCUGGGCAGACCACUGGUGUAAGUCCAAAAGUCCAAAGGCCGAAGAACCUGGAGUCUGAUGUCCAAAGUAAGGAAGUAUCCAGCAUGGGAGAAAAAUCAAAGCCAGCAGACUCAGCAAGUCAACUUAUCCCUUCUUCUGCCUGCUUUGUUCUAGCCGGGUUGUAGCUGAUUGGAUGGUGCUGACCCACAUUGACGAUGGGUCUUCCUCUUGCAGUCCACCAACUCAAAUGUUCAUCUUCUCUGGCAACACCCUCACAGACACACCCAGAAACAAUACUUUACCAGCUAUCUAGGCAUCCUUCAAUCUAAUCAAGUUGACACUUAAUAUUAACCAUUGCACAGAACUACUUACAGGAAAUGAAACCACAAAUUUACAAGUAAAAGUGUGUAAACAAAUACAGUUAUGGCUGCCUUUGGAGUGCAAGCUUCAGGAUGUUUCUGAAAUAUGUCUUGGCUUUGCAGUUAGCACUUACAACUAAUAUAUUAUAUAUAUUUUGCUUAUUUAUUUUGUUUAUUACUAUUUUCCAUUUUAACAUUAGCUCAAUGAUUUUCAUCUGGUUUUUAAAAAUUCUAUCUUCUCAGUACCAGAUAAUACCUAGCUUCCAGUAGGCAUUCAAUAUGUAUUUACUGACUGAAUAAUUCAAUAGACAAAUGAGAUUGGAAGGUGUUUGAACUGAGACUGAGGUAUCCACAACAGAAAGGCAUAUUAUCUGUUGUUCUUUGGAUGUGAGUAUUGUGAGCUUUAAAGUUGUAAUUCUACUAGAUUCUGUGGAAGAACAUUUUCUUUCACAAAAUGAACUGAAGGUGAGAGUCACCAUUAGUUGUGAAAAUUUUGAGUUAGAAUUGAUGUAUCUUAGUUGGAAGAAAAAAAAAAACCUGGAAAGAAAUAGACCAACAUUGACAGUAAAAUGGAUUGUGUGAUUUUUUUAUGCUCCUUCUUACUUUUCUGUAUUUUACAAAUUUUCAACAACAAAGAUGAACUACUUUUGAAGACAGAACAAAAACAAAAAAGAAGUGGAAAACUAUUGUGCCAUUAAAUUUGUUGUUGCUGUUGUUGUUUUGUGUUUUUUUGAGACAAGGUCUUGCUCUGCCCCCUAAGCUGGAGUGCAGUGGUGCGAUCAUGGCUCACAAUAUCCUUGAACUCCCAACUCAAGCGAUCCUCCCACCUCAGCCUCCAGAGUACCUAGGACUAUAGGCAUGUGACACCACGCCCAGCUAAUUUUCUUUUUUAGAGAUGGGUUCUCACUGUGUUGCCUAGGCUGGUCUUGAAUGCCAGGCCUCAAGUGACCUCCUCCCUCAGCCUCCAAAAGUAUUGGGAUUACAGGCAUGGGCCACCACACCUGGUUCCAUUAAGUUUGUUAAAAAGCAGCAUCUUACUAGUAAUUAAUAUCAGAAUAUAUGAAUUAGAAGUAAAAGAUGUAUAACUGCACACUUAGGCACACAUAAAAUCAAACCACGUUUUCUUCUGUUUUGAAUAUAACUACUGAAAAAAUCUAUAUUUGAAUAAAUGACAUAUUCUUCUUUCCUUGUGUUAUUAAUAGUGGUUCCAUGGCAUCCCAUCGACAUAUAGUUUUUUUUUCUUCUUUAAAAAAGUAUAGAGAUGGGAUCUCACUAUAUUGCCCAGGCUCGUCCUGAACUCCUGAUCUCAAGAGAUCCUCCCACCUCAGCCUUUCAAAGUGCUGGGAUUAUAGGGAUGAGCCACUGCACCCGGCCCCACAUAUAGAUUUUUGAGUAUAAGUUUAAUUAUUGAAAUAGUUUUGACUAUAUGACCUUUAAGUUACCUUUGACUCUUAUUCUCUGCCACACUAAAUUGGGCUUUAUUUACAUCAAAGGAUUGUGAAAACUAAAUAACGUGCAGAUAUAUUUUCAUACAUGAGAAGACACUCUAAAUUAUAAAGGCCCACAUACGUUAAAUAAUAUUAUUUAUUAAUUAUCGGAAAAUUGGUUGGAAGAAUACCUCCCAGGACCUAGUCUAGUUCUCUCAGCCUCCCCGUUGGUGGCUGUUUUCAACUUGGAGGGAGCUGGGUGGAAUCUUUACUUGUCUGGGAAUAAACGGGAAUAAGGGAACACUUUUUUCCUGUGCUGUGAGGCAUCAGUCUGUAGGACACAGUUUAAACAGAGGAGACUCCAGGCCCAUAACAUAUGUAAAUGCCUGUGCCAAGGGAGUAAGACCUGAUGGAAAACUUUCCUGGAGUGUGGGGCUGCCCCAGCAUGGGUCCAAAGGAGGCAUUUCCCUACAAGUUUGCUAACUUGGGAAAACUCCCAGCUAAGGGAACCCAAAUCAAGUUUGUCUCUUCUGGAAUGAUACUGGUUUGCGUUCUGUUCAGAGGCCUGCCACCCCAAAUUAUUGAGAUCGUGGAGGGCAUUCGAUGGCCUGUUUUAUCGU